rnacentral:rRNA from 1 species
GAUGAACGCUAGCGGCAGGCUUAAUACAUGCAAGUUGAGGGGCAGCAUGAUAUACGCGAGUAUAUUGAUGGCGACCGGCGGACGGGUGAGUAAUAGGUAGGAGACCUACCUCAUACAGGGGGAUAGCAUAGAGAAAUCUGUGGUAAUACCCCAUGAGGUUAUAUGAAUAGAGGCAUAUAAUCAAAGCAUAAGCGAUUAUGCGGUAUGAGAGGGGCCUACUGACCAUUAGCUAGUUGGUGAGGUAAGGGCUCACCAAGGCGAAGAUGGUUAGGGGUUUUGAGAGAGACGACCCCCCACAUUGGAACUGAGAGACGGUCCAGACUCCUACGGGAGGCAGCAGUAGGGAAUAGUUGGGCAAUGGGCGAAAGCCUGACCCCAGCCAUGCCGCGUGAAGGAAGACGGCCUUAUGGGUUGUAAACUUCUUUACUACGCGAAUAGAGGUUAGUACGAGAUACUAAUAGGAAGGUAGUGUAGUAAAAAGCACCGGCUAACUCCGUGCC